UGGAGUGUGACAAUGGUGUUUGUGUCCAAACCAUCAAACGCCAUUAUCACACUAAAUA
rnacentral:pre_miRNA from 1 species